rnacentral:lncRNA from 1 species
CACAAUCAUAACGCGGGCGUGCUGUCCGGAAACACGGCAUCCGAGUUGGGGCGGCGGUGUUCCUAAACGGGCAAGGGACGCGGCCCAGGAAGCAGUGCAUCUACUGAGCCCUGAUCAUGCGCAUAAUCCUGUGCACCAUCUACACCGACAAACUGUCUCCCUAACUCCAAACCGCUGUCGUCCGCGGGCAGGGAAGGGGGGGAGCCUACCGCCCAGGCUCGUUCUGACGACAGCACACGGUCUGAUGGGACUGACGUUCCUUUCGGCGCAGAGCAAUGUCCGAUCGACACGGGGUUAUCACCUGUCGCCAGGCAGAAAGCGGCAGGGACCACAGGAGAGGUGCCACUGGUCAAUGCCAGGACCGGGGUCCCCGCCGGUCAGCGCACUUGCCUGGGAUCAGGGGGACGCCCGGCCUGCCUCGUGGAGGACACGCACACGCAGCCCGCUUUGCCCUCCCGUGGUCACUGUUAUGGUGGCCAGCCCGGGCCGCGUCGAGCUGCAGAGGGGUCUGGUACGCUGACGGGGUCAAACAUUGGGAAGGCGCCGGGACAGACAGCAGAGGACCAGUGUCUUUUGGUGGCACCUGGAACCACCUACCGGGAGCACUGAAGGAGAAGGAAGCCGCUGGAUCCGUCUGAUGCCCCCGCCCCGCCCUGUGCAGACGCCCAGACACCCUCACACACGCGGGGUUCUUCCUCCAAGUGAGGGCAGAGGCAGGAAGGGGAGCAGGAGAUCCCAGCGCCCCCUCUCCCCUGUGUGUCCUUAGAUUUCUCCACCAGAACCCAGCUGGGUCUGGCAGCUCACCUAAGGAGGCUGACCUCCGCCAUCCAUUGGCUGUGUGAUUUGGGGCAGAUUACUCAACCUCUCUGGGCCUCCGUCUCCUGAAGAGUCAUGUGGGGACAAUAACAGAACCGACUCAGCUGCGUUGUUCUGAGGAUUAAAAGAGGGAAUUCUCGGGCACCUGGGUGGCUGGCUCAUUAGGCGUCUGACUCCUGGUUUCGACUCAGGUCAUGAUCUCAUAGUUAGUGGGCUCGAGCCCCGCAUCGGGCUCAGCACUGACGGUGCAGAGCCUGCUUGGGAGUCUCUCUCUCCACCUCUGCCCCUCUCCCCUGCUCUUUCGCUCGCU